rnacentral:rRNA from 1 species
GAUGAACGCUAGCUACAGGCUUAACACAUGCAAGUCGAGGGGAAACGAUAGAGAAAGCUUGCUUUUUCUAGGCGUCGACCGGCGCACGGGUGAGUAACGCGUAUCCAACCUGCCCAUCACUUGGGGAUAACCUUGCGAAAGUAAGACUAAUACCCAAUGACGUCUCUAGAAGACAUCUGAAAGGGAUUAAAGAUUUAUCGGUGAUGGAUGGGGAGGCGUCUGAUUAGCUUGUUGGCGGGGUAACGGCCCACCAAGGCGACGAUCAGUAGGGGUUCUGAGAGGAAGAUCCCCCACAUUGAAAGUGAGACACGGUCCAAACUCCUACGGGAGGCAGCAGUGAGGAAUAUUGGUCAAUGGACGAGAGUCUGAACCAGCCAAGUAGCGUGCAGGAUGACGGCCCUAUGGGUUGUAAACUGCUUUUAUAAGGGCAUAAAGUGGGAGUCGUGACUCUUUUUGCAUGUACCUUAUGAAUAAGGACCGGCUAAUUCCGUGCCAGCCGCCGCGGUAA